GGGCUGGUGAGACGCCAACCGCAUCUGGAAGUAGCCAGGAACGGCCGAUGAGAUGGUCGAUGGGCUGUGUGGUUAUGUGGGGGUUGCGUUGAGGUCACGUGGUGGGGUUUUCGGCAAAUUUUCGGGGGUCUGGGAUCUUUCGACGAGACGUUUUCGGGAGGCUCGGGAUCUUUCGACGAGACGUUUUCGGAAGGCUCGGGAUCUUUCGACGAGACGUUUUCGUUGAGACUCAGGGUCUUUCGAGAUUUACAAGACGGCAAUUCUGGUGAUCAUGGAAACUGACUCUGGGGAAGCCGUAGCCGGUUUUCCAAUCCAUGUCAGACUUGUGUUGGUCGGGGAUAGUUGUCUUGCAGGUCCGUGAUGCUCUAUAAAGAUACCGUUUCUGGGGCGACUAAAACUUGGAGAAAUGAUGGAAUGGUUUUGAAACAGAUGCAAACUGGUGUUCCAACAGAUCUCAUCUUCACUGUCCAAAUCACAGAUUUUCCAAGCACAAUUGACCAAGUUUAACCGAUCCUCAAUCCCACAUCUUGCGACACCUUAACUAAUCACCCCUGAUUCAACUAAUUAUAUAACUAGGUCAAGUAAUCGUGGACCCUAACACCGAACAUGGAACUCAUCUAAAUGAUCAGAUACACGCCAGAGGAGGGGGAAUAUGUUCCCAAAUGUUCCCUCCAACUGAAAUAAAAUCAUAUACAGGCCGAACCAAAACCUGGAGCCCAUUAUUCUCAUAAUUGCAACAUUCCAUGGCGUCGGUCGAAAUAUUUUCUCACUGAACAUUCCCCUUACAAAGUACCUUCUUUGAAUAUACUGAGUGGCUUGUGGGUCACUUGAGGAACCUGUCAUGAGAGAUGUGUCAUCCCCAUGUCUUUACUUUGCGAUUCGCAACGUCUUCAGUUCCGAACCGUUUUCGUAGUGGCAGGAUUCUACUCCAAAACCAGAG
rnacentral:misc_RNA from 1 species